CCACAAUCACCAUGAUAUACUUUGCUACCACAGGCCCAAAGCAACAGGGCCAAGCAACCAUGAACUGGAACCUCUGAAACUGUGAGUCAAAAUAAAACUUUCUUAAGUGAUUAUCUCAGGUUAUUUUGUCAAGGUGAUGGAAAGCUGACUAACACAGUGGUCUGACUCAAGUCUUAUAAUACAUUAGACAGUAACUAUUUCUAUUUGUCAAGAGCCAUCUUGGGCUAUGUGUGGACCAAACCCACAUCAUAGUCAGUGAAUAGGAAAAUCUGGUAUGUGGGAACCUCCAGUGACAAUCCUGCUGGUUAAGACCACCCAGAUACAUGUGAAUUUCCAUUCAGCUCUGCCAGGUCCCACACAGCACCCCAGAUAGGGUGACCUGCUGUAGCCACACAGCCUCUCAGAGAUGGGUGUGGCCUGCCAAGAUACCAAUCAACCUGUUGACUGCAAGACAUCAUGAAGCAAGACUCCACCCCUGAAGCCUUAUCCCUGCCUUUGAUGUACCCCCUUAAAUAAGCCACCGGAGGGAGCCAUUUUCUAAUUGCUCUGUUCCAGCUCCUGUAUGGACUGGAAGAUCCUAUCAGGUACUCCCUUAAAUCUAUAAUUCUGACUUUGUCUUUUAUUUCUUCCCUAAUUACUUCAGACAUUAUUUUCUCAGGUGGCUUAUCCCCUACUGAACAGGAAAAAUUACCCUGAUGAGGUGCUGCCUGCCCUGCAAUAUCUAUUACUGAGAGCCAACACUUUACAAAAGGAAACACAAGUCCUUCUUAAAGGGCAUUUUAAGUGAUUCAACUGUCAGAAUUCCACUUUCAAAAACUCAGUUUAGGGGGAAAAAAGAAACUUGCAAAAGGCAAGAAGAAAAAAUAACCAUUAAUAUACAAACAUGGUCUGAGUAAUCUUCUAUGCAUGAGAAUCCUAAAUAAUAUAUCUAAUUCAUGUUAUUUAAUCAAACUUCUUUAAUACCAUAUCUUUGUUCAUUCAUCUCUCACCAUUAGUUGUUCAAUGGUACUAGUAUUGUAAGGCACUGAGUAUAAAAAAAUGAGUAAGAUAGUCAAUGCAGGAUUAGAGUUGUGGCUCAUGGUGGAGCACUUGCCUAGCAUGUGUGAGGCACUGGGUUUAAUUCUCAGCACCGCAUAUAAACAAAUAAAUAAAAUAAAGGUCCAUCAAGAACUUUAAAAAUAUUUUUUAAAAAAAGAUAGUCACAUAGAGAAUAGUCAGAGAUAUUGUCAGAAUAGCAAAUAAUUGUCUUAUAAUAUGUGUAUAAUAGACAUAUAUUAUGUGCUAUAAUUUUUAAAUUACAAUAAUAGAAAAAAAUUUUUUUGAUUAUUAGCAGGGCAUGGUGGUACAUUCCUGCAAUACCAGUGACUCAGGAAGCUGAGGCAGAAAGAUUACAAACUAGCCUGGGGGAUUUAGCAAGACUAUAUCCCCAAACAGAAAAUAAAAAGGAGCCAGGCAUGGUAGUGCAUACCUAAAUCCCAGUGAUUCAGGAACCUGAGACAGGAGGAUGGCAGUUUAGCAAGGCCCUUAGCAACUUGGUGAGACCCCUCUCUUGAAAUAAAUACAGAAAGGGCUCAAAAUGUAGCUCAGUGGUAAAAUACCCCUGGGUUCAAUCCCCAGAACCAAAAUGAAAUGAAAUAAAAUAAACUGGGCUGGGGACGUAGUUCAGCAGUAAAAAGCCCUGGGUUUGAUCCCCAGUUCUGGGGGUGGGGGGGUUAGAGAACACUACUUGCCAGUAAGAGUUGAAGAAAGUUUGAUAAGGAAAGAACUAAUUGACUUGGGUUUUGAAGCAUGAACAGGAGUUUGUCUGAUAACAAAAAAAUUAAAUAUGUGGAAUUAUAUAGACCCAGAAGAAUAGGAUGGACUUUAACUGUGGAAAGUGAUAAUGACCUGUUUGGAAGCCUCCUCAAAUCUGAACUCUAUCCUCUUAAGUCAGGGCUUGGCAAACUUUUUCUAUAAAGAACCAAAUAGUUUACACAUUAGGUUUUUGUUGGCCAUAUAAUCUGUCACAACUAUUCAACUCUGCUGUCAUAGUGUGAAAGCGGCCAUAUGCGAAACAUGAAGAAAUGAGUGUGGCGUGUUCUAAUAAAGCCUGCCUUUACAAAAAUAGCAGAAGGCCAGAGCUGCCCACGGGUUACAGUUUGUGGAUGCUUGCUCUGAGCAACAGGAAACCACCAAGGUCUAUAAGCAAGGAAGUGACAGGAUCAAAUCUGUAAUUCAGAAGAGAAUUUUGGUGGCAGCAAGGAGGAACUGAAGAGGAAUGUUAAAGAGACACUUGCCAUAGUUCUGGACGGAGAGAAAAUAAGAAUGCAAACUGAGGACAAGUUGUACAAACUAAGGGAAAUGCUUUAGAGAAAUAUUAAAGAAGUGUUAGCAAUAGGCAGGAAGAAGUUAAAAAGACAUUAGGUUUCUUGGUUAGGUGUCCAGAGGCUGGUGAAAGACCAUUAAUCAAAACAGGGACUGGAGGAACAAGGACUGAAAUGGAAUAAAUCAAACACCAUGCAUGUAUGAUUUUCUGAAUAUGAACCCAACUACUAUGUAUAACUAUAAUGCUCUAAUUGGGGGGGGGGGGAAGUGGGGCAGGGGACUAUUAAGAGGGAGAAUGGGAGAGAGAGUUAGAUGGGGAGUGAUAUAGUUGAUAUUAAUGAAGGACAUGCAGUAUGGGGAUGUACAGAGGACAACUGAAAUUUGAAAGAGUGGUUUAAGGCAGAGAUAAAGAUUAUAAAUGUUCUCAAUAGUAAGGCAAUACCUGAAAUCAUGAAGGUAGCUAAGGUAUCUCAAGGAGAAAAGGUAGAAGAGGACUGGGUUUCAAAUCAGUGUUUACCUCUCAAAAUUUCCUGUCUUCCUUGAAUCAGUAUGUGUCUAGCAUGAGAGGAGACCUUCACAAACAUUAAAUCAGCAAAAGCUCCUCAAGAGCAUGUUCUGGAUAUUUACAGAAUAUCUCCUAUGGGCAAGGCACAGGGGGGAAAUAAAGAUUAAUAAAACUUAGUCUUCGUCAUCAGGGGAUUUACAUGCUAGUACAAUAAUCAGUUAACACUUUUUAAAAUUAAAUUAUAAUUUUUUCAUUUAAAAAUCUGUUACAAGGCUGGGGUUGUUGCUCAAUGGUAGAAUGUUUGCCUAGUAUGUGUAAGGCACUGGGUUUGAUACUCCACACCACAUACAAAUAAAUAAAUAAAGGUCCAUCAACAACUAAAAACAAUUUUAAAAACCUGUUACAAAAAAUCAAUGCAAUAAUAAAAUAGAAAAAUAAUUCAAGAUACUGGUCUACACAGCUACAGCAAAACAAAUUUAAUCAAACAACAAAAAUAGAAUCUAAGCCAGGCGUGUGGCACAUGCCUGGGAUCAGCACCUCGGCCGGCUGAGGCAGGAGGACCGUGAGUUCAAGGCCAGCCUCAACAAAUGUGAGGUACCAAGCAACUCAGUGAGACCCUGUCUCUAAAUACAAAAAUGGACAGGGGAUGUGGCUCAGUGGUUGAGUGCCCGAGUUCAAAACCCCCCACCCAAAAAAAAAAAAAAAAAAACUAUGAUAAAAUAGAAUCUAUAUCUUCCCACUACUACUGUUACUACCACCAGCACUGACUAUUAGUUAUAGGUUGUUUACAGAAGCCAAGCUCUUUACAGGCUACUCCACUCUUCUUAGAAAUAUUCUUUACAUGAGUAUUCCUUAGUCAGUUAUUAUUAUUAUCUCACAUUAUUGAAAAGGUUUAGAGAAUAGUUAGCUUGCCAAGGUCACACAGUUAGCAAGGGGAAAAGCAGGCUUUCCACUAAAGUUCACAUGUGAUUCCAAAAUCUGUGCUCAUGACUAUAACACUCUAUUGGCGUCCAUCAGGUAUAGUGUCACAGCAUUUCUCUCAUUUCAGAUUUCAUGGGGAGACAGUUACUGUCUUGCCUAUGAUGAAGAUAGCAGAAGAACAUGAACAAGAAAAGAAAUAUCCCCUAUCUAAAGGAACACUGUAAGCACUUGGAAAGAGAAGACAGCAGUCUGCAAUGACCUUGAUGAUUACUGCUGAAUCAAACCUUGCCAGCAGAAUCUGAAGAACACAGUUUUCUUCUUGAGUUAGGUAUAAACCUAGUUUCUAAGCACUCCCAAUGUGAAUGUUUUAUAGGUCUUAAAAUCUAACAACAUUAAUUAUUCAGAGACCUAAGUACUUUUUUAAAAAACAUUUUACAUAUUUAAUCUCAGGGAAUGCUUACUUACCUACUGAAUUGUAGAUCACAAAAAAAAAAAUUAGCAAGCACCCCAAUUUGUGUGAAAAAUUUACAUUGAAAAUCAAAGUAAAAGAUAGUGUGAAUUUUUCAAGAGACUUUAUUUUAUAACUGCCCUCAGAAGCAUCUUUUUUUAACAACUUUUAAUUACUAAAAAAAUGUAGAUUAUUUGGUGACUCCUCCCCUCCACUGUUUCUCAAUGAUUUAUAACUUUAAACUCCCAGUCCCAGAUUCAUACAUUUAACUGCCUGUUUGACAUCUUGUCUGUCUCAAAAUCAUCUUAAAAUCAAUGUGUCUAAACCUGAGUUCAAUUCUCUUCCAAACAUGACCCUACUCCGGCUUCUCUACAAUGAAUGAACCACCAUUCACUCUGUUACACAAGCUAGAAACCCAGGCAUCUUCCUUGCUAUUUCUCUCUCAACUCUCACAUCCAAUCUACCACCUGAUACGUCCUAAAUAUUUCUGGAGUAUAAUUUAAUUUCUGUCCAUCUCCACCACCACCAUGACCUGAGUACUAUUCUCUCUCAUCUGUCCUAUUACAAUAGCCUCCCAACUGACCUAUCCAUGUGCACUGCUGCCCUCAUCAAUCAGUCCUCCAUACUACAGCUAGAAUGACUUUUUAUAAAAUAGAACAAAUCUGGUUAUCUUCCUCCCGCUUAAAAUAUUUAAUUGUCUUCUCAUCUGACUUAACAUAAAGACAAAACUCCAUAGAGUUUUGUCCUUCCUCAUAAUAAAUUUUCUCUUUCCUCUUAAAAAAAAAGAGAGAAUGAUUGAAUGGUAUUCUAUUCAUAUAAUAAAAUCAUGCUUAUUGAUACAAAAACAUGAGUAAUAAUACAUUCAGCAACAUAAAUGAAUGUCCAAAAUCUUUAUUUUUCCAAAACAUAUUCACUGAAGAACACAUGUUUGUUUGUUUUUUUGAGAAUAUUCAUUUUUAUGAGGUUCAAUAGGCCAAACCUACCUGUGGUGAUGGAAGUUGAUUGGCACCCCUGAUGACAGGCUCCUUGCUGAUGCCCAACAUAUAGGUUCUGCAGCCUCGGUGUCUAGGCCAGCCCCUGUGACCCCAUGUUCCAGUGGACCCAGGAUCCAGGCUCUACCCCAAGAGGUCCCAGUGCCAGGCUGGCUCCCAUGAACCAAGGCUCCAUGACCAGACUUAAGGACCCAGGCUCCAGGCCUGACCCACUACCAGACUGACUUCCUAAGCCAGUUCCUAUGUCCCUAGAUAUAUGUAACCCAGGGUCAAGGCCAACUCAGCAAAUCCAAGAUGUAUAUCUUCCACUCUAGUAAACCCUGGUGAGAUCUAUAGCUACAUCAAUAUCUGUAUAUAACUAUUUGUUUUUAUAUUUUAAUAAAGCUGACAGAAAAAUGACUAAAAGAAAUUAUCUGAAAUAGUCCCUCUUUGCUUUGUAAAUCUAUGGCACCCCUUUAAUUUUGAAAAAUAAGUGAUGCACUGAAUGGAUUUUUUUGUGUUCUUACUUUAAAUUUAAGUUAACAAUUUCUGGGUUUUGACAGGACAGAUUUUUUCUAUCCUUUAUUUUAUUCUGGUAUGUGUUGUGUGUGUGUAUGUGUAUGUGUGUGUGUGUGUGUGUAGAACUAAAGAAAUAAUUCUGGAUCAAUUGUAUCAUGAGGGAUUUUAUUUUCCCUUUUAUUUUUUCCAAAAGCAAGUCUUUUAUCCUUUAAUCUCCGUUAAAAGACCCUACAGGGAAAUUACCAAAUAUGAACAAAACUAGCUUUUCUGUGGAGAGCACCCAUCCAAAAUAAAACUGCUUUCUUUGGGCUAGACUAAAAUCACAAGAUAAGAACUGUUAAUUUAACUGGUACGCUGACUUUCUAUAAACUGAAUGCUUAAUAAACUUAAAUGGAAAAAAGAACUUCUAUUUUAUCUUUUUAUUAUCUUAUUCUUGUUAUUCUAAGAGACUUGUUUAUAUNCGAUUUGUCAAUUAAAAAUAAUAAAUAAGGGCUGGGAUUGUGGCUCAAGCGGUAGCGCGCUCGCCUGGCAUGCGUGCGGCCCGGGUUAGAUCCUCAGCACCACAUACAAAAACAAAGAUGUUGUGUCCACCAAAAACUAAAAAAUAAAUAUUAAAAAAUUAUCUCUCUCUUAAAAAAUAAUAAUAAUAAUAAAUAAGCUGAUGGUGAAAAAAAAAAUGACUCUAACAGGAAAAGAACAAUAUUAUGCCAUAGUGUCCAAUUCCAAUUUAACAAACUGAUAAAAUGGCUUAAAUCCUUUUUUGGCCUAAAAUUUGGUUACUUAAAUAAGGGAGUCUGUUUUUACAUAAAAGAAUUUUCCCUCAGCUGGGUACAGUGGCACAUGCCUAUAAUUCCAGCAACUGGGGAAACUGAGGCAGGAGAGUCACAAGUUCAAGGCCAACCUCAUCAACUUAGUGAGACCCUGUCUAAAAAUUAAAAAACACAACGGCUAAUAAUGUAGCUCAGUUGCAAAUACACCUAGGUUCAGUCCCCAUACCCAAUCAUCAUCAUCAUCAUCAAUAAACUGACCACUUAUAAAAAUUGGAGAUAAAAAGCAUCAUUUUGGUGACAAAAAAAAAUUGCUGUGACACUAUACUCAAACACUUUAUUUCUUAAAAUCAUCCUCCCUGCUUCCAAGUCUAUAUGUUACCAGAAUUUUCUCUCUAAAUCUCAAAUUGGAUCAUGCAUCCAUGCAAAAUUUGCCACAGCCUAUAAGCUAAAGUCUAAUAUAAUAUAAACAGAGUACUUAAUAUUCUUCCCUUAAUAUGAUGUUCCUAACUCCCACUACUUCGACAUACUCUCUACUGCAAUCAUAAAGAAAUAGUAGGGAAAAGGCACACUAUUUGUUGAAUACCUACUUUUAGUGAAGCAAACUACGAAAUACCUUAUAUACAUAAAUAUGUAUUUUCAAAAUAUAUUUUACACACAGACACACACACAGAGCUCCCCUUCCUUGGAAUGCCCCUUUCAUUUUGUAUCUAUAGGCAAACUUCCAAUUCAACCUUUAGGACUCAUCAAAUCACAGGCAUCAUAGCUUUAAUGCUUUGAAGGGUGGUUUUCUGAGGGGUUUUUGUUCAUUUAUUCAUUUAUUUUAAAAAUUGUACAGUCAUGGGCUGGGGAUGUGGCUCAAGUGGUAGCGCGCUCGUCUGGCAUGCGUGCGGCCCGGGUUCGAUCCUCAGCACCACAUUCCAACAAUAAAAAUUGUACAGUCAUCAUAUUGCAAAGUAAUAUGUGUAUGUUCAACAAAGAGAACUCAAACACUUGGGGGGGGGGGGAAUGAACAUGGGAAGCCCUGCUUCUAGUCCUGACUCUGACAUUUGCUAACUGUGCAACACUGCCUGACCAGGGGUUGCUCUAAACCAGUUGUCCCCAUAUAGGCCCAUGGACCACUGUACCAGGCUAUCUUUACAUUCAUGAGCAAAAUUUUAAGUGAAAGAAAAAAAAAGGUGUGUGUGUGUGUUGGGGGCAGGGGGUAAAUGGAACUCUCCCUUAAAAGAUCAGAAAGUCAGGAAUAAGAACAAAACUCCAUAUUUUUAAAUUUCCCAAUUUGGAAAAUUCCCCUCAUUAAUGAUCAGCAAAGUACAGUAAUUAUUGCACCAAAUUACCUCCAGGUUCCCUUUCAUUGUUAAGACUCGAAGCAUGGGUAUCUCUCCGGUAAUAGAGCAAUCUCCAAGAGCAAUAUGAGGUAGAAACUUCAAAGGAUUUCAUCAUUAAUUUCAUGUAGUCAAAAACACACUAUUAAUAAAAUGAAAUGUGUAAACCUUGACUGAUCAUGGUUCAACAAAAAUUAUUUUAAAGGCAGUCUUCAGUCAAUGAGGGAAAUCUGAGCACAGGUCAGACAUCAGAGAAUACUACAGAACUAUUUCCUUGGAUGUAAUAAUGGUAGAACUGUGAGUUUGUAAAGAAAAUUGCUUUGUUUAUAAAUUUAUUUCUAUGUCUGAAUGUUGGUAUGCCCCCAAAUUUCAAAUAUGAAGAUCCUAACCCUCACCCAGGGUGAUGGUAUUGGGAGAUGGGGGCCUUUGGGAGUGAUUAGGUCAGAAGGGUAGAGCCCUCAUACGUCGAAUUAGUGUCUUAAAAAAAAAGAGGCCCACCAAGAGAUCCUUUCAAGCUUCCAUCACAUGAGGAUACAAUCAGAUGGCUUUGUCUAUGAACCAGCCAGCCUUCACCAGACACCAAAUGUUCCAGCACCUUGAUCUUGGACUUCCCAGUCUUCCGAACUAUAAAAAGUAAAUUUGUUACUUAUAAGUUACCCAGUUUAUGGUAUCGUGUUAUAGCAGCCCAAAUGGACUAAGUCAGAAAGCCAAAAAGUGGAAAUGGUUGUAACACUUAAAAAUGUGAAGGCAGCUUUGGAAAUGGGUAAGAGGUAAGGCUAAAAGUUUGGAGUUGCAUGCUGGAAAAAGGUUACCUUGUCACAAUGAACCAUUCUGUGACUAGUGAAAGCUCAGAAGGAAGAGGAGUGUUGCAACAGAGCCUCAAUUUUCUGCAGUGGGAAAAGGGGUUAUGAACAGAAGGUUGGCAGAAAUAUGGACAGUAGGACCAUUCCAUUGAUAUCUCGGACAGAGAUGAGAAACCUAUCAUGGGACAAUAAAGGAAAGGCAAUCAUUACUACAAAGUAUCAAAGAACUUGGUUUGCCAGAUACACUGGCACACACCUAUAAUCCCAGUGGCUAGGGAGGCUGAGGCAGGAGGAUCACCAGUUCAAAGCCAGCCUCAGCAACAGCAAGGUACUAAACAACUCAGUGAGACCCUGUCUCUAAAUAAAAUACAAAAUAGGGCUGGGGCUGGGGCUCAGUGGUCGAGUACCACUGAGUUCAAUUCCCAGUACCAAAAAAAAAAAAAAAAAGAACUUGGUUAAAUUAUGUUUUUAUUUUAGUCUUUUAUGGAAGGUAAAGGUUGUGAGUAUUUGACUAAGAAAAAUGUUAUUUUGUUUUGCUAAAACAGAUUCUUGCUAUGUUGUCCAGGCUGCCAUCAAACUUCUGGGCUCAAAAAAAUCCUCCUGCUUCAGCCUCCUGAGUACCUGGGACAGAGGGAGCUGGCUUAAAAUUUCUAAGUAAUGUUGACAACGUGACUUGGUGUCUCUGGUGUGCUUAUACUAAAGACAAAGAUAACUUAAAAAUGGAAUUUUUAACCAAAAAACAAGCAGAACUUAAAAACAGAAAAUUUUCUCAGCAUAUCCAUACAGAAAAAAAUUAGUAAGAGAAAACAAAGGUGUGGUCAAGUGACCAUCAGAUAAGGAGAUUAGUACAGAGCAGUCAUCUCAGUGGAAGCCAGGUGUUAUUCACCAAGACAUCAAGAAGAACCUCAAAGGUAACUGAGAAAUCAUCAGGACUGCCACGCCAUUACAGACCCCAAAUUCAAAAGCUGUAGCAAGGAGUAAAUCACGCAUGCUGACAAUGUCAGCAACAUUCUAUCACACAGUUUAGGAAAAUAAUAAUAAUGUAAACCAAAUGUGGUAAGAUAUUAACAAUGUCAAAGUUACUGUUCUUUCAUUAAACUUCUCCAAAUGUUUCAAUG
rnacentral:lncRNA from 1 species